rnacentral:rRNA from 1 species
UUAAUUGUUGCUUAUUUAAUGUGGAUGAAAUUGAGGGUACUGUAAAGGAAAUUUUAAAUAUGAUAAGAAGAAUUGUUGGUGGAUGUACCUUUUGUAUAAGGGUUUUACAAUUGUUGUUAUUGAAUAUAAACUCCCGAAGAAAUAAGAGCUACUAAAAAUAACAUUUAUUGUAACACUAAUAAAUAAUAUUUUUUAGUAGAGGUGAAAUGCUAUGCGUUUAUUUGGAUAUCUGGUUGCUAGAGUUUUUAUUUUAGGUAAACUGUUCCUUGAGAAAGGAGGUAGAGGUACGGAAUGGUAAGAGUAGUUGGGAUUAGCUAAUUAUUUAUUUAUAUAUGAGAUAAAAUUUUGUAGUUUGUGAUUAAAGAUAUCAAUUGUUUUUGUUAUAAAGGAGCUUAUUUAGGGUUUAUGUUAUUAAGUUUUUAUCUGGCUGGUGUAUGUAAUAAAAUAAUAUGUAAGAUAAUGUGAAAAUUAGUAGAGAGUGAAAUUUUUAAUUAGUUGAAGGCUAUUGAUAGUUGAAGAUAAGGUAAUUGCUUUUAAUGAAUUCGGCAAUAUGACUUUGUGCAUGUUUAACAAAAACUUGGUUUUUAGGGAUAAUUAAAAGUCUAGCCUGCCAAUUGUAGUAUGAAGGGCCGCAGUAAAUUGACUGUGCGAAGGUAGCGUAAUCAUUUGUCUUUUAAUUGAAGACUUGUAUGAAAGGUUGAACACAGAGUAACUUUAUUGUAAGUAUUUAUUGAACUUGCACGUCUUAUGAAAAUGUAAGAGUGGAAUUAAGGGACGAGAAGACCCUAAGAGCUUUAUUCUUCCUUUUUUUUUUUUUUGACAAAAAAGGAAGAAUUUAACUGGGGUGGUUUUGAAAGAUUGAAAUCUUUUGAUAAUGUUGAUUUGAGUUGUAGAUUAAGAAGGUCCACGUAGGGUGAUUGUGAGAGUGAGUUACCUUAGGGAUAACAGCGUUAUAUAUUUAGGGAGAUCUAAUUUCUGAAUAUGUUUGCGACCUCGAUGUUGAAUUAACUGUUGCUGCUUGGGGUAGGUUUUGAGUUGGUGAGUCUGUUCGACUUUUGAAACGUUACAUGAUUUGAGUUCAGAUCGGCGUGAGCCAGAUUGGUUUCUAUCUUUAAUUUGUGAGUGAUUGAUUUGUACGAAAGGACUUUUGAUUAUCAAUUGGUUGUG